rnacentral:lncRNA from 1 species
AACUUUGGUAGCUUAAAAAGAAGUAGCCUUAAAAUCUCAGACAAAUCUAAUCCCGAGGUCACUCAAUCUUGGCCUUGAUUUUCCAAAUGUAAGAUUUAAAUGGCAUCAUCUACUUGAUAUGAGUUUGAGAAAGACAAUGCAGGGAGGGAUAACAUUUCUGUAGGAUUCAAUGUGGUGCUAAUGAGGUUGAAGUCAUUAGUUUGACCUUCAGACUGAUUAGUUCUAGAACUUUUUUGGUAACUGUCCUCUACACUCACCAUCUUCUAUUUUUCUUUAUAUUGAAUUUUGCUUCAAUCGUGCCUCACUUUUCCUGGAGAUUCUUCUAGACAGGAAAUGGAGAGAAUGGGAAGGAAGGUUGUUGAAUCCUAAAUUUAGAGGGAAAGGCAAAACAACAACAGAUUCAGAAAAAAUCUUGAGCUGAAUCCAGUGGGAUGGUACUAACUGAGAAAGAUCUACAUGAAGUUAUAAUAAAGGAUGAAACAAGAAGAACCAAGAGAACAUUAUAUACAGCAGCAGAAAUAUUGUUUGAAGAAUGACUUGGGAAUGUCCCCCUCCAGAGAAAGAACUGAUCAAUAGAAAUAAGCAAGACACAGUUUUAUAGAUAUAUAUUUUUGUCACAUGAUGCCUUCCCUAAAUGGAAUGGAGGAGGGAGGGAGCUACCUGGGUAUUUUAAUCUAAU